AUGCCGCCCUUCCUAAUUGUUUUCACCCUGCUCUCCUGCAUCCACACCCCAGCAAACUCUGCAGCGACGGACACCAUCUUGGCCGGCCAAUCACUUGCCGUCGACGACAAGCUCAUCUCCGGCAACGGCAGGUACGCGCUCGGCUUCUUCCAGGCCGAAGGCACCACCAACUGGUACCUUGGCAUAUGGUUCAACACAGUCCCUAAAUUCACUCCAGCAUGGGUUGGAAAUAGGGAUAACCCAGUCAAGAACACCACCUCACUUGAGCUCACCAUUUCCCACGAUGGCAACCUUGUCAUCUUAAACCGGUCCACCAUGUCCAUAAUCUGGUCCACACAAGCAAACAUCUCCAGAAAUAGCACCACUGCUAGGCUGCUGAGUACUGGAAAUCUCGUACUCGCAGACUCUUCAAACUUGUCAGAGUUUCUAUGGCAGAGCUUUGAUCACCCCACGGAUACAUUUUUUCCUGGGGCCAAGCAUGGAUGGGAUAAGGCCACCGGCCUGAAUCGCCGUUUUGUUUCUUGGAAAAGCUUGACUGACCCAGCUACCGGUGUCUAUUAUUAUGAGGUAGACCCGGCCGCUUUUGACCAGAUAGUGCUUGUAGCACUCAACUCAUCCAUACCCUAUUGGUCCAGCGGUGCAUGGAACGGCAAAUAUUUUUCUGGAAUUCCAGAGAUGGCUGCCCGCCACUCUAUUAGUGCAAAUUUUGUCCACAAUGACAGAGAGAAGUACUGGACAUAUAAAUUAGUGCCUCAAUAUAUGGAUCCCAAUAUGCUUACUCGUAAUGUAAUUGACAUCUCGGGUCAAAUGAAGACAUUCAUUUGGAUGAAGGGCACACCUGAUUGGGUAAUGAUAAAUGCCCAACCAAGAGAUCAGUGUGACGUUGAUGCAAUUUGUGGACCUUUCACAAUUUGCAACGAUAAUGAUUUUCCGCACUGCAAUUGUAUGGAGGGCUUCACCAUAACAUCCCCCAAGGAUUGGGACCUAGAAGAUCGAGCAGGUGGGUGCUCAAGGAAGACUAAGUUAGACUGCAUUAGCCAUAGAGGAACAACACAUACCACAGACAAGUUCUAUUCUAUGCCAUGUGUUAAGUUGCCCAACGAUGCCCCAGAAGUUGAUGCUGCUGCAAGUGCGAGUGAGUGCGCACAAGUUUGCCUGAAUAAUUGCUCUUGCACAGCCUACUCCUUUGGCGACAAUGGAUGUUCUAUGUGGCAUAACAAAUUGCUCAAUAUAAGAGCACUACCAUGUAGUGGCACUACCAAUUCAAAUAGAGAAACUCUUUACCUUCGUCUUUCUGCUAAAGAUGUACAAAGUUUGAAAAAAAACAGAAGAGGGAUUGUUAUUGGAAUUGUAACUGGUACAGGCGUUUCUAUUUUAGGCUUAUUUGCACUUAUCCUCUUACUGAUGAUCUGGAAGAACAAACAGAAGAACUCUGGUCAGAUACUGAAUGAUUCUCAAGUUUGUACUGGAGUCAUUGCAUUCAGAUAUAGUGAUCUACAACGGGCAACAAAAAAAUUCACAGAUAAGUUGGGGGGAGGUGGUUUUGGUUAUGUAUUCAAGGGGUUUAUAAAGGGCUCCAAUGCCAUAGCAGUGAAGAUGCUCAAUGGUGCUUAUCAAGGAGAGAAGCAAUUCAGAGCCGAAGUGAGCACAAUCGGAGCUGUUCAACACAUCAAUUUGGUUAAGCUUGUUGGUUUCUGUUGUGAUGGUUCCAAGAGGUUGCUUGUUUAUGAAUACAUGUCAAAUCACUCUCUUGAUGUCCAUCUAUUUCGAAGCAAUUCUACCAUGUUGAAUUGGACUGCUAGGUAUCAGAUAGGCCUAGGAGUUGCAAGAGGGUUGGCCUACUUGCAUGACAGCUGCCGAGACUGCAUCAUACACUGUGAUAUCAAGCUAGAGAACAUACUUCUUGAUUCUUCACUCCUUCCAAAAAUUGCAGACUUUGGAAUGGCAAAACUUAUAGGAAGGGAUUAUAGCCGAGUAUUGACAACAAUGAGAGGUACUACAGGGUACCUUGCGCCUGAAUGGAUAAGCGGUGUUCCUAUUACGCCGAAAGUCGAUGUUUAUAGUUACGGGAUGGUGUUGCUGGAAAUAAUAUCUGGAAGGAGGAACUCAUGCACAUCAUGUCCUAGUGGUGGCAAUGCUGAUGUUUACUUCCCUGUGUAUGCCGCACAUAAGCUUCUCGAAGGAGACAUCGAGGGUUUGGUAGAUCACAAGCUACAUGGCGACAUCAAACUGGAUGAGGUUGAACUAGCUUGCAAGGUCGCGUGUUGGUGCAUCCAAGAUGAUGAGCUUGAUCGACCAACAAUGGGACAGGUAGUUCAAAUUCUCGAAGGGCUAGUUGAGAUCACAAUGCCCCCGGUACCAAGACUGCUCCAAUCUAUGGCUGGAAGCGUGCAUCAAAAAUGCCCCUAA
rnacentral:rRNA from 1 species